rnacentral:rRNA from 1 species
CCAAGUAGCGGCGAGCGAACGGGGAAGAGCCCAAACCGCGCGGAUUCGUCCGUACGGGGUUGCAGGGCCGGAAUGACCGAUUCACGCGUAACCAGAAGAAGUGAGCAGGAAAGCUCCGCCAGAGAGGGUGACAGUCCCGUAUUCGAAAGUGAGAGUGACGGUUCCGGUACCUGAGUACUGCGAGACACGUGAAAUCUCGUGGGAAUCCGGGAGGACCAUCUCCUAAGGCUAAAUACUAACUGACGACCGAUAGUGUACCAGUACCGUGAGGGAAAGGUGAAAAGAACCCCUGUCAGGGGAGUGAAAGAGAAUCUGAAACCUGGUGCUUACAAGCUGUGGGAGCCGUACUUGUACGGUGACCAUGUGCCUUUUGCAUAAUGAGUCAGCGAGUUAAUCUGUACAGCAAGGUUAAGCGUAAGUGAAGCCGCAGCGAAAGCGAGUCCGAACAGGGCCACAGUUGUGCGGAUUAGACCCGAAACCGGGUGAUCUAUCCAUGAGCAGGUUGAAGCAAGGGUAAAGCCUUGUGGAGGACCGAACCAGUUCUGGCUGAAAACAGUUUGGAUGACUUGUGGAUAGGGGUGAAAGGCCAAUCAAACCCGGUGAUAGCUGGUUCUCCCCGAAAUAUAUUGAGGUAUAGCCUUGCGGAUUGUCUUAUGGAGGUAAAGCUCUGACAGAACUAGGGGUCCUAUCCGACUACCGAAUUCUUUCAAACUCUGAAUACCAUUAAGAUUUACCGCAGGAGUCAGACGGCGGGUGCUAAGGUUCGUCGUCAAAAGGGCAACAGCCCAGACCGACAGCUAAGGCCUCCAAAUGCAUGCUCAGUGGUUAAGGUGGUGGCGUUGUGCAGACACCCAGGACGUUGGCUUAGAAGCAGCCAUCGUUUAAAGAAAGCGUAAUAGCUCACUGGUUCAAUGGCGCUGCGCCGAAAAUGUAACGGGGCUAAGCAUGCUGCCGAAGCUUCGGAUUUGUCUCUGACAACUGGUAGGGGAGCGUUCUCUGCGGGCUGAAGCGGAACCGAAAGGUUUCGUGGACUGCAGAGAAGUGAUUAUGCUGACAUGAGUAACGAUAAAAUAUGUGAAAAACAUAUUCGCCGUAAAUCCAAGGUUUCCUGGGUAAAGGUAAUCUUCCCAGGGUUAGUCGGACCCUAAGGCCAGGCUGAAAGGCGUAGCUGAUGGGAAACGGGUUAAUAAUCCUGUACUUGUGCGAUUGUGCGAAGAAGGGACGCAGGAUGGUAGACAGGCCGGUUUUUGGAAUCCGGUGCAAGUGCGUAGGCGUGCUCCGCAGGCAAAUCCGCGGAGAUGAGCCGAGACACGAGUCCGUGGGCGUAAGCCCUGAAGCUGUUGAGCCACGGCUGCCAAGAAAAGCUUCUAAGUUUAGAUCGCGCGAACCGUACCGCAAACCAACUCAGGUGGAUGGGAUGAAUAAUCCAAGGCGCUCGAGAGAACUCUGGCCAAGGAACUCGGCAAAUUGACCCCGUACCUUCGGAAUAAGGGGUGCUCCCCAUGGUGAGACAAAUACUUGUUCAGCCUCAGGGAGCCGCAGAGAAAUGGUGGUGGCGACUGUUUACUAAAAACAUAGGUCUGUGCGAAGUCCUACAGACGACGUAUACGGACUGACGCCUGCCCGGUGCCGGAAGGUUAAAAGGAGGAGUCAGCGCAAGCGAAGCUCCGAUUUGAAGCCCCGGUAAACGGCGGCCGUAACUAUAACGGUCCUAAGGUAGCGAAAUUCCUUGUCGGGCAAGUUCCGACCUGCACGAAUGGCGUAACGAUCUCCACGCUGUCUCGGCCAGAGACUCGGUGAAAUUGAAGUCGCGGUGAAAAUGCCGUGUACCCGCAGAAAGACGGAAAGACCCUGUGCACCUUUACUAUAGCUUGACAUUGGGUUUUGAACCUGCAUGUGUAGGAUAGGUGGGAGGCUGUGAAAGCUGUACGCCAGUAUGGCCGGAGCCACCCGUGAAAUACCACCCUUGUUUGUUCAGGACCCUAACUCGCAGCUGUAAUCCAGCGCGAAGACAGUGUCUGGUGGGUAGUUUGACUGGGGCGGUCGCCUCCUAAAGAGUAACGGAGGCAUGCAAAGGUUCCCUCAGGCUGAUUGGAAACCAGCCGUUGAGUGCAAGCGCAUAAGGGAGCUUGACUGCAAGAGAGACAUCUCGAGCAGGUACGAAAGUAGGCGUUAGUGAUCCGG